rnacentral:pre_miRNA from 1 species
GAGUGUUUGUGUGUAGAUGGUGUUCAGGGACAGGUGUGUUUGCCUGUGUGUAGAUAGUGUUCAGCACCAAGUACAGGUGUGUUUACAU